AAGACCAUAGUCAAUACUUAUGACAUAUGAGUUGCAUUCAUAAAGAGUUAUCUUUUAACUGGUUUUG
rnacentral:tRNA from 1 species